AUGACCCAGUCUCAUGGCUCAUUGUUGGUGUAUGACGUAGAGAAUGCCACCAUCCACUCCAAGUCCAGCCAGAGUCUUCUACACAGUGAUUUCAAUGAGAACUUCCUGUCAUUCUAUCAGCAGAAACCAGGGCAAUCUCCCAAAGUGCUCAUCUACUAUGCAUCCACCAGGGAUCUGGGAUCCCGGACGGGCUCAUUUUCAGUGGAUCGGGCACAGAUUUCACUCUCACCAUCAGCAGUGUUCAAGGUGAAUAUGGCAGAUUAUUACUGUCUGCAGCAUUAUAGUGCUCCUCCCUCAAUGAUUCAGCCCGAAUAUAAACUUUCUGUCAGGGCCUCCCCAACUGCUUACUCCCCAUGUGGCCCAGGGCUUGAUCACUUCCUCCUGCUGCCUGAGAGACUGUCUCUCCCUGAUGUAUGA